UACGUAGGGUGCGAGCGUUGUCCGGAUUUAUUGGGCGUAAAGGGAGCGUAGGCGGCCAUUUAAGUUCGGUCUUAAAGACUGGGGCUCAACCCCAGGAAUGGAUUGAAUACUGGGUGGCUAGAGGAUGUCAGAGGAAAGUGGAAUUCCGAGUGUAGCGGCGAAAUGCGUAGAUAUUCGGAGGAACACCAGUGGCGAAGGCGACUUUCUGGGACAUUCCUGACGCUGAGGCUCGAAAGCUAGGGGAGCAAACAGG
rnacentral:rRNA from 1 species